rnacentral:rRNA from 1 species
AUCAAAGGCUCAAAUUUUUAAAAGUGGGAAAUGUAUCUCGUCUGAUCUCGGAAGCUAAGCAGGGUCGGGCCUGGUUAGUACUUAGAUGGGAGACCACUUAGGAUGAUCGGGUGCUGUAGGUG